GAUGAACGCUGGCGGCGUGCCUAAUACAUGCGAGUCGAGCGAACAGAUAAGGAGCUUGCUCCUUUGACGUUAGCGGCGGACGGGUGAGUAACACGUGGGUAACCUACCUAUAAGACUGGAAUAACUCCGGGAAACCGGGGCUAAUGCCGGAUAACAUUUAGAACCGCAUGGUUCUAAAGUGAAAGAUGGUUUUGCUAUCACUUAUAGAUGGACCCGCGCCGUAUUAGCUAGUUGGUAAGGUAACGGCUUACCAAGGCAACGAUACGUAGCCGACCUGAGAGGGUGAACGGACACACUGGAACUGAGACACGGUCCAGACUCCUACGGGAGGCAGCAGUAGGGAAUCUUCCGCAAUGGGCGAAAGCCUGACGGAGCAACGCCGCGUGAGUGAUGAAGGUCUUCGGAUCGUAAAACUCUGUUAUUAGGGAAGAACAAAUGUGUAAGUAACUGUGCACGUCUUGACGGUACCUAAUCAGAAAGCCACGGCUAACUACGUG
rnacentral:rRNA from 1 species